AAUUCGCCCUUAGAGUUUGAUCAUGGCUCAGGACGAACGCUGGCGGCGUGCCUAAUACAUGCAAGUCGAGCGGAGCUGAUGAGGUGCUUGCACCUCUGACGCUUAGCGGCGGACGGGUGAGUAACACGUAGGCAACCUGCCUGCAAGACCGGGAUAACAUUCGGAAACGAAUGCUAAUACCGGAUACGCGGUUCUGUCGCAUGAGAGAACCGGGAAAGACGGCGCAAGCUGUUACUUGCAGAUGGGCCUGCGGCGCAUUAGCUGGUUGGCGGGGUAACGGCCCACCAAGGCGACGAUGCGUAGCCGACCUGAGAGGGUGAUCGGCCACACUGGGACUGAGACACGGCCCAGACUCCUACGGGAGGCAGCAGUAGGGAAUCUUCCGCAAUGGACGAAAGUCUGACGGAGCAACGCCGCGUGAGUGAGGAAGGCCUUCGGGUCGUAAAGCUCUGUUGCCAGGGAAGAAUGUCGGGGAGAGUAACUGCUCUUCGAAUGACGGUACCUGAGAAGAAAGCCCCGGCUAACUACGUGCCAGCAGCCGCGGUAAUACGUAGGGGGCAAGCGUUGUCCGGAAUUAUUGGGCGUAAAGCGCGCGCAGGCGGCCUUGUAAGUCUGGUGUUUAACCCAUGGGCUCAACCCAUGGUCGCACCGGAAACUGCAAAGCUUGAGUGCAGAAGAGGAAAGUGGAAUUCCACGUGUAGCGGUGAAAUGCGUAGAGAUGUGGAGGAACACCAGUGGCGAAGGCGACUUUCUGGGCUGUAACUGACGCUGAGGCGCGAAAGCGUGGGGAGCAAACAGGAUUAGAUACCCUGGUAGUCCACGCCGUAAACGAUGAGUGCUAGUGUCAGGGUUUCGAUACCCUUGGUGCCGAAGUUAACACAGUAAGCACUCCGCCUGGGGAGUACGGUCGCAGACUGAACUCAAAGGAAUUGACGGGGACCCGCACAAGCAGUGGAGUAUGUGG
rnacentral:rRNA from 1 species